rnacentral:rRNA from 1 species
UGAGGAAUAUUGGUCAAUGGACGCAAGUCUGAACCAGCCAAGUAGCGUGCAGGAUGACGGCCCUAUGGGUUGUAAACUGCUUUUAUAUGGGGAUAAAGUGGGGAACGUGUUCCCUUUUGCAGGUACCAUAUGAAUAAGGACCGGCUAAUUCCGUGCCAGCAGCCGCGGUAAUACGGAAGGUCCAGGCGUUAUCCGGAUUUAUUGGGUUUAAAGGGAGCGUAGGCUGGAGAUUAAGUGUGUUGUGAAAUGUAGACGCUCAACGUCUGAAUUGCAGCGCAUACUGGUUUCCUUGAGUACGCACAACGUUGGCGGAAUUCGUCGUGUAGCGGUGAAAUGCUUAGAUAUGACGAAGAACUCCGAUUGCGAAGGCAGCUGACGGGAGCGCAACUGACGCUUAAGCUCGAAGGUGCGGGUAUCGAACAGG